UACAGAGGAUGCAAGCGUUAUCCGGAAUUAUUGGGCGUAAAGCGUCUGUAGGUGGCUUUUUAAGUCCGCUGUGAAAUCUCGAGGCUCAACUUCGAGCUGUCGGUGGAAACUAUCUGGCUAGAGUCCGGAAGAGGAGAAUGGAAUUCCUGGUGUAGCGGUGAAAUGCGCAGAUAUCAGGAAGAACACCCGUGGCGAAGGCGGUUCUCUGGGACGGUACUGACGCUGAGACGCGAAAGCGUGGGGAGCGAACAGG
rnacentral:rRNA from 1 species